CUUAAAGCUUUAUCCACUGUUAUCCAAGGAAUAUUAACCAGAAAUAAGGGCACUAACAUCAAUAUGAAAUAGAGUCAAAGAUAAGAACCCUGCAAAUGGUUAUUGGGUGCUAACUUUGCAGAACUUAUUAUGUUGAAACUAUUUUUUUUUGUUUGUUUGUUUGUUUUAAAGAAAAGUAUCAUUAAUGUUGCUUUGUCUUGAAAGACAGGUCCCAAGAGGGUCUUCGCGAUUCUGAACGGAUGUGAACUCCUGCGGUGCGGCCAGCAGUGUCAAUAUUUCUCUGUUUGAGAUUUAAAUAGGGAAGGGAAAGUGUUAAUAAAACACCCUGCCAAAGCAAUCUGGUGAUGGUGACCACAGACUCACAAAAGAGCACUGCGUCAUUGGAGCCCCCCCGCCCCGGGAGUAGGGUUUCAGCCUGGGCAGGUUGGCAGUCUCUGACAGAUGAGGCACGGCGCUCGUUCAGCCCUCUGCCCACAUCUCCGACUCUGCCGCCCUUCCCAGCCCUAUCUGGCAACCUCCUGAAUGACCAGUCCCUGGGCUCUGCGACAGUGCUGGUCCCUUCCCUGGGCAAGGCCUCCCUGGCUGCGUCUGUACCAGAUCCGCGCCACCCUGGCUACGCCCCCACACUCCUCCGCUCCUCCCCUGGACACACCCUCCCCACCGCGCCACGCCGGCGCACUGACCGCCCCAGGGGCCUUGUGGGCGGAGCUCGCACAGUCUCCCGCACCCAACCCUCUUCCCCCGCCUCGGCCACCAAGCGCCUCCAAGGACGCGCAUUUCCUGCAAGGCCUCAGUGUGCCCUUUGGCCGAACCCAACCGAGGACCCCAGCCCUUCCAAACAGGUCGCGAUGGUGGAUGAGCUGGUGCUGCUGCUCCACGCGCUCCUGGUGCGGCACCGCGCCCUGUGCAUCGAGCACAGCCAGCUCAGGGAGCAGCUGCGGCUGCUGGUGUGCGAGAGGGCCAGUCUUUUGCGCCAGUCCUGCUGCUGCCACCCAUCUGCCUGCCAGGCCUACAUCUGCCUAUGA
rnacentral:lncRNA from 1 species